UAGAUUUAUAGAUUGGAUUAAUUUACCUCUGCUUCAAUAUUUGACCUCAGAAAUUCUUCUUUCCUCUAGGAAGCACCAACUCCUUUAGGAAUUGUCUAUAGCAGGCUGGGAAAUUGACAGCUUUUUACAUGAGGAAGACCCUCUCUUUAACAAGAAGAGAAAUGGAGUCAACACAUGGAAUUGCUUGGAUGGACUGCACUGGAGACCAGAUUUUCAUCCAUUUCGUAUAAUUGCUCUGUGGUCACUUGAGAAGUUUUGUGCAGAAUCAGAGACAAACUUCUGCUUCCCCACCUGAUAAUUUACUUUUGAAUCUGCUGAAGAAAGUUAUGUAAAAUUCUACCAUAUGCUGGGCAAGUGAAGUAGUUUGAGGACAUCCCAAAAGAGAACACUGAAAAACAGCAGAUAAAAAACAAGGCUCUGAGGUA
ensembl:lncRNA